CAGCAGCCACGGUAAUACGAAGGGGGCUAGCGUUGCUCGGAAUGACUGGGCGUAAAGGGUGCGUAGGCGGCGAUCGAAGUCAGGCGUGAAAUUCCUGGGCUCAACCUGGGGGCUGCGCUGGAUACUUGGUUGCUUGAGUGGGGAAGAGGGUCGUGGAAUUCCCAGUGUAGAGGUGAAAUUCGUAGAUAUUGGGAAGAACACCGGUGGCGAAGGCGGCGACCUGGUCCUUGACUGACGCUGAGGCGCGAAAGCGUGGGGAGCAAACAGGAUUAGAUACCCCGGUAGUCCCUGUCUCUUAUAC
rnacentral:rRNA from 1 species